ensembl:lncRNA
AGCUGAACUGUGCAGAGCUGCAGCUGCUGCUGUUCUGUGGAUGACCAUAACCAAAUGAAGAAAAAGGAAACAAGUAGAGUGAAGGACAAGUAGAUAAGAUGAUUAUCAGUAUGGCUUUACCAACAGUCAUUUGAGGACCUUUGUUUUUGUAUGGAGUCCUCCUGAACUUGGUGAUGAAUGAUGGAGAAUUUAUAUCAGACACCAACCACAGGUGAUACCAGUGGAGACUCAGACUGCAGUAACAUGCAAAAAUCAAAACUUCAAAAGAAGGAGGAAAUCGAACUGAUGUGUUUCUUGGCGAGGUACAUGAACAUUUUUCCAACAGAAGUGACGUGUCUCACAGGAGCUUUCAGUAUAUGUUACAGCGUAAUCUGUAUCAAACUGAACAUACAGUUUCCCCUGUUACAAACAACUUCUUAAACAGAACUCAAGGCUCAGCUCUUCAGAACAUGCUAGGCACCUUCUUCUGUCUCAUGGGAUCUGAUUCUACCUUACAGGCAUCACAGACCUCCAGGAAAAUCUGUGCCCUUCCAAGACACCAUCUAACCACAAAGGUACUGAUCAGGUACUGACCACUAUGCCCCACAGCUUGUGCUACCUUGAGACUUAGAAGCGCAAAGGAAAGCAGCGCAUCUUUCACCUUGUGCAUGGCCUUAAGACUAACCCUGGUACUGCAUUCUUAUGUAACUUUAGACAGUAUCCUUUAUACACAAAUGUAGUUGUAAAGUCUUGAUCCUCCAUGCACAGACACACACCUUAGUUUUGGCAUUUCUUAAUUCUGAGUUCCUGAUGUACAAAAGAUCUGGCAUUAUAUACAGACUUUUUAUUUUUCUGUUUGUUUGUUUUUUGUUUGUUGUUGUUUUAAAUAUAAAUUACCUUGGUGUCCUGCAGGUUACUUUAAGCAGAAAAAUCCUCUGUUCCCAUAAGGGGAAGAAGGAACAAGACUCUUAGUAUUUGUGGUGACAGAACAAGGGGGAAUGGCUUCAACCUUAAAGAGGGUAGAUUUAGGUUGGACUUGAGGAAAAACAAACCCUUUCACAGUGAGGGUGUCAAGGCACUGAAACAGGCUGCCUAGAGAUGCUGAUUCCCAUCCCUGGAGAUGAAACUGCAUCAGACCCUAGGCAACCUGAUCUAGCUGUGCAAGUCCCAGGGGAGCUGGACUAGAUGACCUUUAAAGGUCCCUUCCAACUCUAAGGGUUCUACGAUUCUAUAAAACCUAUCAGAGCAGUUCUUUAGGCUAUAAUAUUUGCUCCAGUACCUUUAGGAUGAAUGGUAAGCAAUCAAGUCAUUAUUUUGGCUAUUGUUCCUAUAGGAUAUGAUGCUCAUUUAAUGGCACAACAUUACAACUGCUUGGAUUUCUGUGUACUUACCUAUAUUACCAGCAGAGCUGAAGUAAGCAUACAUCAAUAGCUAGAUUAUAAUACUUGGAUGUAUCCAAUAUUUGUCAAAUGAUAUUGAUACAGUUCUACACUUGUGAGAUUGAGCUAUGGAAUCUCAAGUUGUCACAUUAUACAAAAUCAUUUACAUAGAGAGAAAAUAACUGCAGCAAAAUCAGAACAACUAUAUGUAUCCCCAUAAAAUUGGAACUAGGUUUCACAUUUCUACAAAACCAAAAUCCAAAUCUUUCAAGCUUAAAUUUUUGUCAGUGUAAAAAUCUUUUCCUUCCCUCUAAGAAGUGAGGGAAAGCAUUUAAGUUUCCUAGGAACUUAACCACCCGGUUGGACAGAUCUCCUCCAAACAAACGUGUCUCACUUGACUUUUCUGAUGGUGAAUGAAGAUGAACAGUUCUGGUACAGUAUUGUGCCCUGCUUCCUCUGGAUAAUCCUAAUUUUAAGACAGAUUACAAAGCAGAAAAUACUUAUUAUGACCCCUGCCAUCCUCUGUGCUCCCUUUUUUUUUUUUUUUUUCUUUUUUGCCAGCAACAUGUCAGCACAACUACACUACAUCUUCUAUCAGAAACCCAGUUUCUUCCUGCAGAUUCUAUUUUUAUAUUUCUUAGAUGGAAAAGAGCUUUCUUUUUCCCCAUUUGUUCUGAUUCUGUGAGAUCUACUUAAUGUGAUGCUAACAAGGGAAGAUGCAAAACUUAGCCAUUUAUGUAUUUGUUUCAGUUCAAAUAAAUGAAGGCGUUCCUUUCCAGUGACCUCACGCAUCUAAACUAAGUAUUUACUCAGACUUGUAGUUACAUACUGAGCUCGAAGAGCUGUUUGGAUAAGAAACCUAACAUUUGUCAGACACUGUAGUAAAGUGUUCUUUCUACUGCAGCUCUUUAGGGUCACACCAGAAAUAAACAUGAAAUAUUUUUAACACUCAUAUGUUUAUCCAAAAUAGUUUACUAUGUAUACUGCCUAUUUUCUAAUAGCA